rnacentral:rRNA from 1 species
AUACGUAGGUGGCGAGCGUUGUCCGGAAUUACUGGGCGUAAAGGGUGCGUAGGCGGAUAAUCAAGUCAGAUGUGAAAGUCCAUGGCUUAACUGUGGGAGUGCAUUUGAGACUGAAGAUCUAGAGUGCAGGAGAGGGAAGCGGAAUUCCUAGUGUAGCGGUGAAAUGCGUAGAUAUUAGGAAGAACACCAGUGGCGAAGGCGGCUUUUUGGACUGUAACUGACGCUAAAGCACGAAAGCGUGGGGAGCAAACAGGAUUAGAUACCCUGGUAGUCCACGCCGUAAACGAUGAGUAUUAGGUGUAGGGGACGAUAGCCUUCUGUGCCGGAGCAAACGCAAUAAAUACUCCGCCUGGGGAGUACGGUCACAAGACUAAA